CCAGGGGUCUCAGGCCCAGAGGGCCAGAAGGGCUUAGCAGGCGACUGUUCUGGAUUUGGUGAUAGCUGGGAUCUUUUUAAUUGCCCUAACCUCUUUUCCUGGGGUCGCCCUCCUCCGUCCUCAGCUUGUGGGGUUUGCUCCUUCUGAUGGUGGCAAAUGAGAUUUUCAUCAUUUCCAAACCCACAUCCCAACAGCUAAGGAAAUCGUAUUCAGCUUGACUUCCGGUCUUUGCGUUAUGAAAAGCAUCGUUUUUCUUUUCACUGGAUGGUUAGAAAUUUAUGUUAUAAUCUCAAAUGUGCCUUUUACCUCUGUGAGCACUCCCCUGCACCCCUCCCAAGUCCCCCGCCCCCACCCCGUGGUUGAGAAGUACUCUGUAAUUACAGAAGCUUCUGGGUGUUGGUAAAAAUCUUCACCAGAAAACGAGAACUGCAGUUUCAAACUUGGGACAGAAAGAACUGUAAAGAUUUGGAUGGGGGGGGCAAGCCACACAGCUGGAGGCUCAGCCCCGUAUUUUUGCCCGAAUCUGCUAGAACGUGCAUCAUUUCCCCCAAAGCGUUGUGCUUCACCAAAGCCCAUUUUUUCUCCUCUUAGGAUCAUCGUUUUGACUCCGCCAGCUCAGAAAUUGGCAGAGGCCGCAUCAGAGCGGAAAAGGAAGACUUUUCUGAGCCUCAGUUUUCUUACCUGUGAAACUGCGAAAGCAUCCUUCAAUCCGGCAGAUCUGAGUGGGGUACCACGGGGUCUGCAGUCUGUCUCCGAUUGGUGGACAUUUAGAUUGUUUCCAGUCUCCCCUCCUACAUCACACAGGGGAGGACAUCCAUGAAGACACAUCUCACACCUGUCUGCUCGGACGGGGAAUUACUGGGCCCCACGGUUUCUCUUCCCAGGAUGGUUUGGGCCAGCGGGGGUAGCAUAAACAAGAACUGCCUCUGGAAGUCCACAGCCUAACGCUCUCUCCUGGGACUGCCCCCAGUACCAUAAUGACACUUCGGGGACCACUUCCAGAUACCGCCAUACCCCUCUCAUCCUCACCAUGACCCUGAGGACCCUGGGAUUCCUUUUGGAGAGAAGUCAGUAGAAGAGAGAGAAACCACCACUGUUGGGCGAGUAAGGGUAGCAACGUCCCCCUGAAUCAGAUCCCGUCUGUUCGUCUCAGCUCAACCUGAGACCUCGGCUCCGGAGAAUGGUCUGCAGUGAGCAAGGCCAUUAUCUCACCAAAUUCCUGCCACGGUGCUGAGGGCGAGCUGUUGACCCAUUUGACAGGUGAGAGACCAGGCACAAAGCCGGCUGGCAGUAAAGACCCGCGCUGAUGGGUAAGGUAACUGACAGUGAGCAGGCUCCGAGAGGAGCUGAAUGAGGUCCCCCAGGGAGCUGGGGGCUCAGGACAGAACUCUUCCCACCAGCCCUGCUGCCCCCCAGGCCUGGGCAGAGACCAUCAGGUAGGACAGAUAUUCCCGGUGGCUAAGCUUAUGUGGGCGUUGGACGUGUUAUUCCAUGUCAUUGGAAAUGGGUGGACUCAGAAUCCUGGCGUUGGACGGGACCUUCGAAUGAUUUCCUCGAAGCCCCUUAUGGGCAGCAGAAACGGCAGGAGAACACACUCUUGUAGCAGCAUCCUCUGCCCCCCACCCCAAGGCCCAGUGUGACAUUUGAUUUGUAAUCAAGUCUUUUAAAAAAGAAAACCCCACACUCUGAAAGUUCCUGAUUAAAAACACCUGCCCAAGCAGAUUGGCCACUGGGGGGCUGGGGGAAAGGGAAGUGGGGACUGACUCUUGACGGGUAAGGAGUUUCAUCUUGGGGUGGUGGAAAUGUUUGCAACUUGAUAAAAGUGGUGGUUGUGAGUGUACCAAAUGCCACACUGAAUUUUACCCUUUAAAAUGGCUAAUUUUAUGUUAUGUGAAUUUCACCUCAAUAAAAAAAAAAAAAAAAAAACACGUGAAAAGAAAGUAUAAAGGACAUUCCUGGGACCCUUGGGAAGUUUGAAUAUGGACUUACCAUUGGUUAACGGCCUGAGCAGUGGAUAAAGUUCCUGGGUGUGAUUCUUGCACUGUGAUUCUGUAGAGAAUGUCCUCACACUUAGGAGACUCACACCGAAGUAUUUAGAAAUUAAAGUGUCAUAUCCACAAUUAACUUUCAAAUGGUUGAGAAAAAUAAAUACGUGUGUAUGAGAAAGCUAGAACGCAAAUGUGGCAAAAUGUUGGUAAUACGGGUAAAGAGGGUACAGGUGUUCCUAUGCUUUCUUGAGACUUCU